rnacentral:rRNA from 1 species
GACGAACGCUGGCGGCGUGCCUAAUACAUGCAAGUCGAACGCUUCUUUUUCACCGAACUUCGGUUCAUCGAAAAAGAGGAGUGGCGAACGGGUGAGUAACACGUGGGUAACCUGCCCAUCAGAAGGGGAUAACACUUGGAAACAGGUGCUAAUACCGUAUAAUGCUUUUUCUCGCAUGAGAGCAAGCUGAAAGGCGCUUUUGCGUCACUGAUGGAUGGACCCGCGGUGCAUUAGCUAGUUGGUGAGGUAACGGCUCACCAAGGCCACGAUGCAUAGCCGACCUGAGAGGGUGAUCGGCCACACUGGGACUGAGACACGGCCCAGACUCCUACGGGAGGCAGCAGUAGGGAAUCUUCGGCAAUGGACGAAAGUCUGACCGAGCAACGCCGCGUGAGUGAAGAAGGUUUUCGGAUCGUAAAACUCUGUUGUUAGAGAAGAACAAGGAUGAGAGUAAAAUGUUCAUCCCUGG